rnacentral:lncRNA from 1 species
UCUCCUCGGAGACAUUGAGUUAGCGAAACUUUCAUCAGCGCUUCUGCUUCGUUUGUGGACAUUGUGGAGGAGAUGGAUCGGAGAAGAACCGUGUGUUGGUGUAGCUGGACGACUAGAGAAAGGCGUAGUCGACUCUGAGGUUCUUCCAUGUUUCAUUUGCUUCUUAGCUGUGUGGUGCCAACUCUUUAAAGCUACUGCUACUCUCUCGUUGAACACUGUAGGUUUCAUCUUCGAACCCAUCUAAAACAAAUAUUUUCACCAAAAUUCAAAAACGUUCAGACUUUGAAACUGGAAAAAGUUCCACUCUUUGCUUAGUUUUAUGUCUUUGUACCUGAGUAACUAGAGCGUAAAGAGGAAGAGUAACGUAGCUGCAAAGAACCUGUACAAUAACUCUGCAAGAAGAAAGAAAUGGUAGUGACUUUGUUUGUAUUUAAUGGGAUGGUUUGAUUUCUCAGUUUAUAUGAUUGGUUAAAACUUGAAAGAUUUUACUUACCCAACUGAAAUUCUGAUGACCACAUCUACAGUGUUCUUGUGGAAGCAGUUCUUGAGCUUGAAUUCAUACUGUAGAAACAACAAGCGUGUACUUCAGUAAAGGGUGCUUGAGAAAUUGGUAAUGGAGACUGUGGGAUACUACUUUGCUUGCUUACCGUAGUCCAGGCAAAGAAAGCUAAUUGAAACGCAUUCUGCAAAUUGGCAAACAUAUUUGUUUAUUAAAUUUAUAUUCAAGCAUUUUUCUGUUGUUGUAAGGAGGAAGGAUAAAGAGUGCGAAAGUAUGUAUGGUACCGUGAAAAGGACUAAGUGAACGAGGAAGAGAAUGAAACGUGGACGACCGAACCAGAAGAGAUGAUCACCGGGCUGAACAAGCGGCAUGCCUUUCACUAUGUCCCCUUUCUCUUGGAUUAGAAGGUACCAUCAGUUUCUUUGUGUGAACACCCUGUGUAAGCAUAUUCGUCUUUUGUAAGAAAUAAUGGCCAUAAAGAACAACUUCUAGGAUUAAUGGUUGGUAUUUAGAAAUAACCAAGAAACUCAGUUAACAUAUUUAAAAGAAUGUUAUGGAAUUAUUUACAAGUAAUGCUUAAAAAGAACUCGUCUCAAAGAAUAACAAACCUUGAGACCUAUUUUGGUUUCAGAUAAUUCCAUGCAUCCUUUUGAUCUAUGAGUUGAUUGAUAUGUGUGCCAACUUCAUAGUGAACAUAUUUUUUAGCUAGCUCAAAGCUUUUUUCCCCGGCCCAUAGAUUUCUUCCUGAAACAUUGUCUAUGACAAUAAGAUAAACACUUUGGUAGCUGAAAAGUGUAAAGUGACAGAUAAAAAACGAGAAAUAAUUAUGUAUAAAUAAGGUCAAAUUUACACAAUAACACUGUUUCCAUAUAAGCUUAUAAAUAUACGUAUUAACAAAUCAUCACUAAGAAAUAUAAACAAUCACUUAAACGAAAAAUCCCUCAAGCUAAUACUACUAAUCUCAUGCUGGUGAGUUCUUGCUUGUCCAGUUCCAGGAGGAAGCUCCACAGCUGAAGAAGAUGCUGGCUUCUUCUUCUCUGAGUAUUCUUCCCUAAACCUAGAAUGAUACUUCACGGAAGAAGAAGAAGGUUCUUGUUGAGACUCAACAUCCCACGUAUCGAAGUCAGAGUUUCUCCUCGGAGACAUUGAGUUAGCGAAACUUUCAUCAGCGCUUCUGCUUCGUUUGUGGACAUUGUGGAGGAGAUGGAUCGGAGAAGAACCGUGUGUUGGUGUAGCUGGACGACUAGAGAAAGGCGUAGUCGACUCUGAGGUUCUUCCAUGUUUCAUUUGCUUCUUAGCUGUGUGGUGCCAACUCUUUAAAGCUACUGCUACUCUCUCGUUGAACACUGUAGGUUUCAUCUUGGAACCCAUCUAAACAAAUAUUCACCAAAAUCAAAACGUUUAGAAUUUGAAACUGAAAAAUUUCCACUCUUUGCUUAGUUUAUGUCUUUGUACCUGAGUAAC